UACAGAGGGUGCAAGCGUUAAUCGGAAUUACUGGGAGUAAAGCGUGCGUAGUCGGUUAUCUAAGUCGGGUGUGAAAUCCCCGGGCUCAACCUGGGAAUUGCAUUCGAUAUUGGAUAGCUAGAGUUCGGCAGAGGGAAGCGGAAUUUCGGGUGUAGCGGUGAAAAGCGUAGAUAUCCGAAGGAACAACAGUGGCGAAAGCGGCUUCCUGGACCAGAACUGACGAUCAGGCACGAAAGCGUGGGGAGCAAACAGG
rnacentral:rRNA from 1 species